rnacentral:rRNA from 2 species
UUUUUAAUUUUUUUUUUUUUCUGCUCAGACGAACGCUGGCGGCAUGCCUAAUACAUGCAAGUCGAACGAGCUUCCGUUGAAUGACGUGCUUGCACUGAUUUCAACAAUGAAGCGAGUGGCGAACUGGUGAGUAACACGUGGGGAAUCUGCCCAGAAGCAGGGGAUAACACUUGGAAACAGGUGCUAAUACCGUAUAACAACAAAAUCCGCAUGGAUUUUGUUUGAAAGGUGGCUUCGGCUAUCACUUCUGGAUGAUCCCGCGGCGUAUUAGUUAGUUGGUGAGGUAAAGGCCCACCAAGACGAUGAUACGUAGCCGACCUGAGAGGGUAAUCGGCCACAUUGGGACUGAGACACGGCCCAAACUCCUACGGGAGGCAGCAGUAGGGAAUCUUCCACAAUGGACGAAAGUCUGAUGGAGCAAUGCCGCGUGAGUGAAGAAGGGUUUCGGCUCGUAAAACUCUGUUGUUAAAGAAGAACACCUUUGAGAGUAACUGUUCAAGGGUUGACGGUAUUUAACCAGAAAGCCACGGCUAACUACGUGCCAGCAGCCGCGGUAAUACGUAGGUGGCAAGCGUUGUCCGGAUUUAUUGGGCGUAAAGCGAGCGCAGGCGGUUUUUUAAGUCUGAUGUGAAAGCCUUCGGCUUAACCGGAGAAGUGCAUCGGAAACUGGGAGACUUGAGUGCAGAAGAGGACAGUGGAACUCCAUGUGUAGCGGUGGAAUGCGUAGAUAUAUGGAAGAACACCAGUGGCGAAGGCGGCUGUCUAGUCUGUAACUGACGCUGAGGCUCGAAAGCAUGGGUAGCGAACAGGAUUAGAUACCCUGGUAGUCCAUGCCGUAAACGAUGAGUGCUAAGUGUUGGAGGGUUUCCGCCCUUCAGUGCUGCAGCUAACGCAUUAAGCACUCCCCGCCCGG